UUAAGAAUAAGUUCAAGGUCGAAGAAAGACUUUAAAGAAUCUUUAGCGAUUUUGAGGGUUUUGUCUUGUAAAGUCGAUUUAAUUAUAUUAUAGUGUUACGAUGUAAAGAAUUUUUUAAGCCUCAUGACUUGUAAUUACGAAUAGGGGAUGAUUGAAUAUUAAGUUUUUGUUUAUUGCUACAUAAAUUUAUCAUGUUAUGUGUGUGGAAUAAUGCUCAUUUCUCAACAGAGAAAGGGGGUCGUUACAAAAGAAAUGUUAAUACUUAACAUUAUUACAUUCAUUUUUUGUGGUGAUGAGUAC
rnacentral:lncRNA from 1 species